UAGCAUGAUUGUGAUGGUAGUUCUGUCACAGGUGGAUGCAACUGUCAACACUCAUGAAAUUGGAGACCUUAAAUUAAUACAACUUAGGUAAAUUGUUUCUCAAAGUUAUCAGGGAAAAUUUUUUGGUAAGCUCUUGCCUGUUAAAUCUGAGACUUGAAGAAAUACAUAAUGGGCAGCAGAUAAGUUUUGUGGGGCCAAGAUAUUAAAAAAAAAAAAGGAUUGAUGAACCAAAAAUAUUCUUAAACAUUCUGGAAAGGCCCUUUUAGUUUCUGGGCAACCUAUGGGAAUUUGUAGGAAAAGAAUUUGUCUUCUGGUUUCAGGUAACCGCUAGAACAAAGAACUGCUUUGGGGGCUGAGCAAGGUCCUGGGCUGGGUGAGCCUUACUCACAGCCCGUCUCCCCUCUGGAUUCCUGAGAGCCAGCUGGCUCCACCAAGGCAAGUACAGGGUGGCAGGCAGCUUCCUGUCUUUGCCAAGUCAGGUUCCUUCAUACCGAUUUCUUUCGUUCUGCCUGAGGCAGUAGUGUCUACUCAGGGCUGGAUUCCAUUCUACUUUUUGAAUGUCUGUUCACAAACUAGAAAACCGUAGGGCACAUUCUUCCUUUCUAGGCCACAUGGAGCGACCAAUUUUAGCUGGCACCACUUGUAGGAUCACAGGAUGUGGGAUUUGGAAGGAACGUCAGAGAUUCUCCUGUCCAACUUCCCAGAGGAGGAAGCUGAGGCCCAGAGAAGAUCCCCCAGAAUGUCAGUUGUCGAGGCUGGAUGACUAGGACAGUCUCUUCAGGAAGAAGACUUCAGAUCGUGAAAAUCACCCUAAGCUGAAGCAGCAGCGUCGGCAGUCCCUACUUCUGUGCGGGGACUCCUAGAUGACCAAACGACAGCAUUUCUUGGAGGUGGCAGUGGCGGUGGGGCCCCGUGCUUCCCAGUGGUACUGUUUCCUCUGCCACUUUGUCUUGUCCUGAGAGUCCUGCUGUACCGUGUCUGCAGCCAACACGUUUCAUGUCUCAGAAAUCAUGGGCACCAAGGAUGGGGCCAACACUGUGUCCAUCACUUCCCUCCACUGAGCACCAUGGUCUUUUUGGCAACCUACUGGGCAUACUGUCAGUGCCCAGGACAUCAUGUUGAAUGAUUAGCUCAGUUGUUGAGCAAGAGGAUAAUGAUAGUUCUGACCUUAAAUGUAGACUCAUCAAAUCACUGUAGCAGUGAUACAAAAACUCACUGAAAAACUGUGGGAGAAGAAAUGAAACUUUCUCUAGAAAAUCCAUUAAUGACCAGAAUAAAUGAUAUCAUCUAUAUACAAUCAUGGAGAACUGAUAUAGGUACUUGAAAAGCACAUUCUCCCUACCUCUUCUAAUCCUUUGAAUUUAAAUUAUUCCCAUCACUAAGAUCAAAGGGCAACACCUGACCUGGAUAAUUUUCUUCUCUAUUUCCUAUUGAUUUAUUACUUUUAAAUGUAGUCUUUUGCUUAUCUAAGAAACAGGAAUACAAUUGCUAUUUCAAGUCACAUUUCCUUUUUCCUUUUUUCUUAUUGGCACACAAGCAUGCUCUGGCAUCUCUUACCUUUAAAAAAUAUCUGCCCUUAGUCCUUAGAGCUGUCAGUUGAUUUCUCCCCUCUCCACUAAAAGAUGUCCGAGAACUGUGGACUCAUGAAUUACCUCCAAUCCUGACUUUCCAUUUAUUUGUCCUUCAGACUUCUCUCCUCUGGCUUCUGCCCCCCCACCCCCCUUGCUCUGCCAAAAGUGCUCUCUCCAGUAACCUCCACUUGGUCCAUUCCAGGAGCACUUCCUGAGUCCCCGUCCUACUGGAAUGCUCCUUGGACGACCACCUAAGAAUCCUUCUACUGCACAUGAAUGAAGAACCAGCAGAAAUGGUGGCAAACAAAAACAGACUGCACUUCUACAGAAAAUCAGAAAGUAAGAAUUCUGACUUUUUCAGUUGCACCCAAUUCUUUCUCCAAAGAGUAAACAUGAAGACCCAAGCUCCAAAAAAGGACACAGACUGAGGGUCAGGACUUCAGCAUAUUUUGAGGAACACAAACAAGUUGGUCACAGUAAAACAAGGAGCAACUCUGGGAAGAGGACAGUUUGUGCACAGGCAUUAAGCAGGUACUGGUCACAGUGAACUGACUGUUGCAUUUUCUGGUGGUUGCUAGAAGAGUUAACUUUGUUUCAGAAACUUGGCACUGACCUAUAUACUUGCCCAGGUAAGUCAUCCUAUUUCUGAAAAGAGAUGGGUCACUAAGUGGCCUGGA